AUGCACUUGUGUGUCAAAGGAGCAACUUUAGUGGUAUGGGACAACGAAAUGAGGUCGAAGAAUAAAAUAAACAAGUAGUCUUGUCAAUUCUACUUCAAAAGAAGUUCUAAGGUGGUGAGAUAAAAGAAUAAGGUUCUUGACAUUGUAUUGUUGGAGUGCAUUUUCCUAUAUCCUCUGCAUUUCCUAUAUGUGGGUUUCUCCCCUGAGCAAGAAAAUGAGGCUCAAGCGACAUUUGUUCAAGCUAUCUGUGGGUUUCUCGUCUGAGCAAUAGGAGAUCGCUGAAGCGUCAGCUCUAGAAUUGGAGCAAAAUCUCUUUGUGGGUUUCUCGCCCAAGCGUCACCUGUCGCCCAAGUGAGACUGUCCGGAUAAGCUUGCUUAUUUUGGUGUUGUUAAUAGGAUGUUUAUCAUAGGAAUAGGUUUGGUUACCUAUUUAUAAGUUUAGGGACUUUUAAUUCCUUUAUAAAUGUUCCUGGUUAAUCUUUAUAAUAUAAAUAUAUGGGUGUAGUUACACUUUUGCUUUAAAAAAAUAAAAUGAUAU